AGAGAGGGAUGACUGGUAAAUACAAUGUCGACCUCAAUUUAGAACUGCAGAAAGAUAUGGCAUGCAGAGCAAAUAGAAAGCAUACAUCUUGCCUAGGGGAGAUAAAGAAAAACCAAGUACUGUUCACCACCCAUGAGAGGCUAAAGCAGCCAGUCAGUCCAAAUGCUGUGGAGCUGUUACACUUGACCUCUUAAGGCUGGGAGUGGAAGGUGGCCCUGAUAUUUUAUAAUGCACACUGCUUCAUGAGAAUCAACACCUCAACCUGUCUUAUGCCAUACAGACCAGAUUCCUCUAUUGCUACAUCAGGCAGUAAGACUUCAAAUUCCAUUUGACCAAACUGCAUGAUGCAGUACCAGAGAUGUAAAUCAGGCAACAGGAGCGGUUCAGAGUGAAUUUGCCAAGCUUCUGAACUGCAACUCCCAUCAAGCAGUACUUCAUUAUCAAGAAAUUACUGCUAUUAGGAAGUAAUGAAAUAAUUCAAAACCAAACAUUACAAAACAGCAUAUUUUUUCACUGUUAAUCAAUCAAAAUAUUUCAACUGUGGGAAUGUAAAAUAAUCCCAAAUACUGUAUAAAUAAUGUCAGAAUAAAAAGGCACUAUAAUAUUUCCAAUUAAAAUUUUCCAGGAUUGCUGUUGCACAGAAAGUAUCAGUACCUCCCUACUUCAAUCACAUUGCAAAACACAAGGAAAUGUCAAAACUGUAGCAUUUCUCAGUGAACAGGACCUUCACAUUUUGAGUCCAAGGCAAGAGUGAUCCUUUUAGGUGUACUAAUUGAAAGGCUCAUGGGCAGGCACAAAGUCAGAGGCUGCUUUCACAAACAAGGAGCACUGCUUUACGGGCAGCUGCAACAGAAGCAGUAACAGGACACGUCUGGCAGCAGAACCCACCCCUAGGUCAGUCAUGCUUUGAUGAAUUAUGCACCAUCAAUAAUCUUUAGAACAAGCAGGAUGUGACAGAUUCACCAGCUCCUCCAUUCCCUUUCCCUGCUGUUUAAUAGCAUCUGACAAAUGCAGGGCUGCUGGAUGAUGUGUUCUCAGCAUGCCCUGCUUUGCAUACCACCUCAGACCCAGGAAGGAUGUUCAGAAGCAAGAAGAAGGGGGAUAUUCUGCCCAGCACUGUGCCAAGAGGAGAACCUCUUUCACACUCCCCUCAGAGCAUCAUUUUCCUGAGGAACUGCAGUUGGAUGUUCUACAAUGAAUGUUCUACUCCUCCAUCCAUGCUAAGAGAGCACAGACAAUGCACAGAAGACCAGCACAUAGACAAGCACAGCAAAAUGGUCAAUCUGCUCCUCCAGUAGCUGAAAAACAAUUACAAAAAAACCCUGAGUAAAAAAAAAAGCUCAAAAUUAGGCUCAUUAUUUCUCUGAUGAAGAUAAAAAGUCUUCUCUGGUACAUUAAUAUGAACAGCCUUACAAGGAGUCAUUAUUACCCUUAGAAUACAGCACUGCAGCCAGUCCUGAGAGAAUGAAUCUUGCCAACAGCCAACACUUAAUGCCCACAGAGGCCCUGCAUGACCAAGCAAAGGCAAUGGCAGAUCUAAACAAGUGGUACCUUUGCUGUUAGAUGGUAAAAUGUCUUCUAAAACUACCCACUGUGCUCCAGCUCCAGUGAAUUUUCAUCCCUCCCUCACCAGAUAUCUUCUCCUGACCUGCCUAGGGGUAAAUUUUCAUGAUCAAUUUAAGCUGCUGCUGAAAGGGCCCAUCUAGCACCCUUCACCUUACUUGCAUAGCUACAUGUCUUAAGCUGAUAAUGCAACAAUACCUGGCACUCCCUCUUCCAUUUGCAGUCAGAUGGCCUCUGGUGCCAUCUAAGCCCUCUUCAAAGCCAUAUGACCCUCAUCUCCUUCACGGGAAUCACAACUUUUGUGGCACAGAGUCCUCCCAUGGAAGGUUAUGGACAUGAUGGAUGUCCCUCCAGCACAUGGGUGGCUGUCCUAGGCUCCUUUUGUAGCCCAAGGUGAGAAGCAGAGUCAAGCCUCAGAUAAGGCCCAUCGCUCUCCACUGUACACACUUCCAUCUUUGGUGCCUUAUCUUAUUCUAUCACAUUAUCUUGCCAUACACCUCAUCCACAAAUGACAAGUGGUUUUGUGGUUAAAUGUUAUGGAAGAAAAGCUCUUGAGCUACAUGAUUGUCACGUCUUCCAUGACAUCCUCCAAAACUUCUUUGACUCCUUUAGUAAGGCUCUGACUGUCCAUGCCAAGGCAAAGAGUCAGAGUCACUCCUUAGGUCACAGAUAUUUUCUCAGCCCCCAUUUCCCUCAUCAUUCACAGUGCUGCAGAUUUCUCAGCUAUCCCCUCACUAGCUGGCAGGUAAGGAACAGCUCAUGCUUGGUAUAGAAGGAUGUGUGUGUUUCCUGUGGGCUGACCGUCCAGCUGCAGGUUAGGAAAAGGGGAAACUUGAACUCCUAUUACUACUUUUUCUCCCUCUUGUCCCAGUGUAUUCCAUUCAGUUCCAAUGAAACCUGUGGGAAGUUAGUGUCUCUGUUAAGAAAGAUGGCACCAGUUCACAUUAUGUUUCCCUUCAGAAACAGGCUAAAAAGAAAGGAUGAGAAUGCCAUAUUGUGUUUCUAGAUGUGUAAUCCCGUGUCCCUGACACUUUUUGCUGGUGUGUGUAUUCCACCCAGGCUUUAUGGAGCCUGGAGGCAUGUCAAAGCAGAGGCUAUGCUCAUUGUAUAUUAAGCACACAAUGUAAAAAAGGA